rnacentral:miRNA from 1 species
AGUGACUUAAUACAAUACACAGGG